CGCCUGGGGAGUACGGCCGCAAGGUUAAAACUCAAAUGAAUUGACGGGGGCCCGCACAAGCGGUGGAGCAUGUGGUUUAAUUCGAUUCAACGCGAAGAACCUUACCAGGGCUUGACAUACUGCAGAUCUUCUAGAAACAGAAGAGUACCUUCGGGAAUGUAGAUACAGGUGGUGCAUGGCUGUCGUCAGCUCGUGUCGUGAGAUGUUGGGUUAAGUCCCGCAACGAGCGCAACCCUCGUUUUUAGUUGCCAAUUUAUUGGGUUUUCUAGAAAGACUGCCGGUGACAAACCGGAGGAAGGUGAGGAUGACGUCAAGUCAGCAUGCCCCUUAUGUCCUGGGCCACACACGUGCUACAAUGGCGGAGACAAAGAGUCGCAAACCUGCGAAGGUUAGCUAAUCUCAUAAACUUCGUCUAAGUUCGGAUUGUAGGCUGCAACUCGCCUGCAUGAAGUUGGAAUCGCUAGUAAUCGCUGGUCAGCUAUACAGCGGUGAAUUCGUUCCCGGGCCUUGUACACACCGCCCGUCACACCAUGGGAGUGGAUUGCACCAGAAGUGGUUAGUCUAACCUUCGGGGGGACGAUCACCACGGUGUGGUUCAUGACUGGGGUGAAGUCGUAACAAGGUAGCCCUAGGGGAA
rnacentral:rRNA from 14 species